AUUUGAGCGCAAGGCGGACGAGAGUGAGGAUCUCCUUAAAGCUCCAGAGAAUCUUAAAAAGCAUACAGAAAACAAAAACUUACAGCGGGUGCAUGUAGGACAUUCUGAUUCUGUGUCGUUGUGGUUCCGGAGCAAGGAUUCAGGUGGGAGGAAAGCUUCGUCCUCGGGAUUGAAUGUCUGGGUGAAGACUCUCUGUCGGCUGUUGAAGACGACCGCUCCGUUAAGGGAAUUCAGCGGGCCGGAGGUGUGAAGGGAAUAUCUACAUUCUCAGUCCAUUGUGCCGGAUGAUUUUGCGGGAGCUUCACAUUUCGGGGAUGUUUCCUCGAAGGGGAUUGGUCGAAACUGAAGCGGGUGGAAUGGUGUGGCAAGCAGCUACACUUGAACUGCAUACAGGAAUUCCUUUGUUAUUGAAGAAGUUGAUGACUUGCGGCUCAAGCGUGUGCAGCUCACCUCUUGUGCAUCUUCUCCUUCCUUGUCACCUGCUGUGAUCCAUGCAUAGGAGCAGUGGCUUGUCUCAAGCCCAGAAAUCACCUGGUAAUCCAUCCUGGAGUACUGCUCUUGGUCGUCCACUCUUUUUUCAAGUUCUUCAAUCUUCUUGUCUUUGUCUUUUGAUUAUUGCCUUCAGCUCCUUAAUUUCAUCAAUUAAGUCCAGAAGGCCCAUUUGCUGUUUUGCUACUUUGCACAGUUCCUCUGACAUGAAAUUCAGAGACUUUUUAACCGCUUGCAUUUCUUUUGCUAACUUCUUAGUCACCAUUCUUUAGUGGGGAAACGUACUUUUAGAAUUCAGUUGAUCUUUCAGAAUACUUUCUGAUUACAGGCAAUCCAGUAUUGAUGGCAUGUCAGUGCAUUAAAACACAUAUGUCAUCAAAAAGUCUCCAACAAGUCCAAAAUCACAAAAAUGAUCUGGCAGUCUGAUGUUUAUCUUCCUAAUAAACAUGAAGAUGUUGCUCUGCUG